AUGGGCGGGAUGGAGCCGGGAGCAUCCAGGGCUCCCUUUUUGGGGUGUCGCCUGCAGGGAUGUGGCGGCCGUGCCCUCCCCAGGGUGGCUCUGCCCCUUAUCCCAGCUCAUCAUCCCGGCUGGAACAUCUUUCCCGGGGUUCUCCUGGUGGGAAUUCCCACAGGGAUGCAGCAACGCCCUGAUCUCGGCUGCUGGACAGGGAGGGAGGGACAGGGGACGGUGGUGAGGGGACAGGUGGUGUUGUCCCCGUCCCGUUUUCCAUCCCUGAGUCACCAAGCACCGCCUUGUCCCCAUCCCUCCGGCCACCGACGGGGACUGGAGGCCGCGGUGAGGGGACAGGGGGUGUCAUCCCCAUCCCAGAACCCCAUCUCCCAUCCUGGCAUCCCAAAGCGACCAGGGACCGCCCUGUCCCUCCGGCCACCCACCAGGACCGCGGACGCUGCUGAGGGACCGGAUGAGAGAACAGGGGCUGUUGUCCCCAUCCCGUUUUCCAUCCUCAAAGCGACCAAGAACCACCUUGUCCCCAUCCCUCCGGCCACCUACCGCCCGCUCCCGGCAGGACACGAGGCUGGCGUUGCCCCUCCUGCUGUCCCCUCGUGUCCGGGCCAGCUCCCGGCGCAGCGCGUCCUCGUCCCGCUCCAGCCGCUCCCGCUCCCGCUCCAGCUCCUCCAGGCGAUUCCCGAGCUCCCGGCUCUCGUUGGCCGCCCUCUCCCGGCACCCCCGCAGCUUCCCCACGGCCUCGGAGCGCCACACCAUCACCGCCACGGCCACUGUCACCGCCGCCACCAGCACCAGCAGCGCCGCGCACAGCCCCAGCACCUUCAGGGUGGCCCUGGGUACCGCGGGGUCCAUGGCGGAGGCGACGCGCGGGGACACAGCGGGACAGCCGGGGACCCACCGGGACAGCCGGGGACCCACCGGGACCCACCGGAAAAGCCGGGGACCCACCGGGACCCACCGGAAAAGCCGGGGACCCACCAAGACCCACCGGGACAGCCAGGGAUGCGCGGGGACCCACCGGGAAAGCCGGGGACCCACCGGGACCCACCGGGAAAGCCGGGGACCCACCGGGACAGCCGGGGACCCACCGGGACCCACCGGGAAAGCCAGAGACCCACCGGGACAGCCGGAGCCGCUCCUCCGGCCGUGGCUGUGCCGGGAUGUGCCGGUGGAGCUGCUGGCCACGCCGUAAUUGUCGCGUGUGGGCUGCGGUUUGUCGCAGGUCACAGCCCAGAAUAG
rnacentral:lncRNA from 1 species